UAGUUGCCAUCAUUCAGUUGGGCACUCUAGCGAGACUGCCGGUAUAAACCGGAGGAAGGUGGGGAUGACGUCAAAUCAUCAUGCCCCUUAUGACCUGGGCUACACACGUGCUACAAUGGGCGGUACAAAGGGCUGCGAACCCGCGAGGGGGAGCGAAUCCCAAAAAGCCGCUCUCAGUUCGGAUUGCAGGCUGCAACUCGCCUGCAUGAAGCCGGAAUCGCUAGUAAUCGCGGAUCAGCAUGCCGCGGUGAAUACGUUCCCGGGCCUU
rnacentral:rRNA from 1 species